UUUAAUUCAUUAAGAAUCUAUUUAACUCGUUUAAUCUAUUAAAUCUAACUCGAUUUGUUUAAUAUGAAUCAAGUUGGAUCACCUAUUGGAUAAAAAUGCUAGUUUCAUAUAUAAAAUUUUUAGACUGUUUACUAAAUAGUUUGGAUUCGAAUUGGUAAAUUUUUAAUCCCACCUAUAUUCGGUCCGACCUGAUCGCCACCCUUAUCAGCAAUCAUAAUACGAUAAGAAAUAGCAUUCAACAAAGUGGAGAGCAGCCCUCAUGGCCGUUGGAGGCCGAUAUAGCAGCGCUUGUGAAACGUCGGACCGAAACCGUGGCCACGAUAAGACACGACAAGACGCGGGCACGAGAAGAGGCCAUGGCCCAGUAGAUAAGUGGAAAUGGCGACGGUGCACCCACUGCCAGCUACUGAACUUUAAAAAUCCCGUAGAUAUGCAAAUUAUGAGGAUCCCGACUCAAGAACCUUCGAUCGAGACAUCCACCCAAUGACGAAACUAGAUGCACCAUGGACCCGUGAAUUAACGGCUCAAGAUGGUUGACCUUUUUUUUGCCUUUAUUUUUUCUUGGGUACAUGAUCUUGUUGCACGUACCUAGAAGAAAAAAAAAUGUGAUGUACCACGCCGUGCAUACCGUCCCGACGUGGAUCGCACGAUUAAUGUCGGUCAACUCUUCCUCUAAUGCCUCCUUAACAAGUGGCCUCGACAUUGCUCCAACAGUUGCCUUCUAUAAAUGGUGCACCGCCUCUUCCAAUAUCCACAGUCGGUACCAAAAUCUGGAGGAGAUGGAUUCAGGGCUAAGUUGCUUUCUUCGUGCUCUCUAUUUUUUCUCCUUUCUUACCUUGGCUUUAAUGAGCAACAUCACUUUACUUUCAGGAGAAAAAGGGAAGAGACGCGGGUCUCUCGAGGUGAGCACCAAGGACUACAACUUCCCGCGGGCGAACCCGGGUCACGACCCCUGGGUGGGUCGUGGAGGCAGGAAGUUACUUUAAGUAACAAAGACACCCCAAGAGCCGCCAACUGGCCGUCUGAUGCAAGAUGGACGGACGGAUGGAGGAAGCGCUUUUCUUCUUUUUCUCGCAGGGGAUGGUGAAACAAAUAAAGUGGAAUGGAUGUAUUGUCGUUUUAAUCUUAACAGUCUUUGGUCUAUGUACGGUAAAUAAUGAAUUUUAUAAAAUUUUACAUGAUAUGUUACCUGAUCCUAUCUUUUUGA